rnacentral:rRNA from 1 species
UACGUAGGGUGCAAGCGUUGUCCGGAAUUAUUGGGCGUAAAGAGCUCGUAGGCGGUCUGUCGCGUCUGCUGUGAAAACUCAGGGCUUAACCCUGAGCUUGCAGUGGGUACGGGCAGACUAGAGUGCGGUAGGGGAGACUGGAAUUCCUGGUGUAGCGGUGAAAUGCGCAGAUAUCAGGAGGAACACCGGUGGCGAAGGCGGGUCUCUGGGCCGUAACUGACGCUGGAGACGCGA